rnacentral:rRNA from 1 species
CUACGGGCGGCAGCAGUGGGGAAUAUUGGACAAUGGGCGAAAGCCUGAUCCAGCCAUGCCGCGUGUGUGAAGAAGGCCUUCGGGUUGUAAAGCACUUUCAGUGGGGAAGAAAGCCUUGGGGCUAAUACCCUCGAGGAAGGACAUCACCCACAGAAGAAGCACCGGCUAACUCCGUGCCAGCAGCCGCGGUAAUACGGAGGGUGCGAGCGUUAAUCGGAAUUACUGGGCGUAAAGCGCGCGUAGGCGGUCUGAUAAGCCGGUUGUGAAAGCCCCGGGCUCAACCUGGGAACGGCAUCCGGAACUGUCAGGCUAGAGUGCAGGAGAGGAAGGUAGAAUUCCCGGUGUAGCGGUGAAAUGCGUAGAGAUCGGGAGGAAUACCAGUGGCGAAGGCGGCCUUUUGGACUGACACUGACGCUGAGGUGCGAAAGCGUGGGUAGCAAACAGGAUUAGAUACCCUAGUAGUC